AUGGAGUGGCGGCGUGCUUACACAUGCAGUCGAACGGUAAGGCCCCUUCGGGGGUACACGAGUGGCGAACGGGUGAGUAACACGUGGGUGACCUGCCCUGUACUUCGGGAUAAGCCUGGGAAACUGGGUCUAAUACCGGAUAUGACCUUCCCCUGCAUGGGGGUUGGUGGAAAGCUUUUGCGGUACAGGAUGGGCCCGCGGCCUAUCAGCUUGUUGGUGGGGUAAUGGCCUACCAAGGCGACGACGGGUAGCCGGCCUGAGAGGGCGACCGGCCACACUGGGACUGAGACACGGCCCAGACUCCUACGGGAGGCAGCAGUGGGGAAUAUUGCACAAUGGGCGAAAGCCUGAUGCAGCGACGCCGCGUGAGGGAUGACGGCCUUCGGGUUGUAAACCUCUUUCAGUAGGGACGAAGCGCAAGUGACGGUACCUACAGAAGAAGCACCGGCCAACUACGUGCCAGCAGCCGCGGUAAUACGUAGGGUGCGAGCGUUGUCCGGAUUUACUGGGCGUAAAGAGCUCGUAGGCGGUUUGUCACGUCGUCUGUGAAAACCCGAGGCUUAACCUCGGGCCUGCAGGCGAUACGGGCAGACUUGAGUACUGUAGGGGAGACUGGAAUUCCUGGUGUAGCGGUGGAAUGCGCAGAUAUCAGGAGGAACACCGGUGGCGAAGGCGGGUCUCUGGGCAGUAACUGACGCUGAGGAGCGAAAGCGUGGGUAGCGAACAGGAUUAGAUACCCUGGUAGUCCACGCCGUAAACGGUGGGUACUAGGUGUGGGUUUCCUUCCACGGGAUCCGUGCCGUAGCUAACGCAUUAAGUACCCCGCCUGGGGAGUACGGCCGCAAGGCUAAAACUCAAAGGAAUUGACGGGGGCCCGCACAAGCGGCGGAGCAUGUGGAUUAAUUCGAUGCAACGCGAAGAACCUUACCUGGGUUUGACAUAUAGAGGAUCGCCGGAGAGAUUCGGUUUGCCUUGUGCCUUCUAUACAGGGGGUGCAUGGCUGUCGUCAGCUCGUGUCCGGGAAAUGUUGGGUUUAAGUCAGCAACGAGCGCAACCCUUGUCUCAUGUUGCCAGCACGUAAUGGUGGGGACUCGUGAGAGACUGCCGGGGUCAACUCGGAGGAAGGUGGGGAUGACGUCAAGUCAUCAUGCCCCUUAUGUCCAGGGCUUCACACAUGCUACAAUGGCGCGUACAGAGGGCUGCGAUACCGUGAGGUGGAGCGAAUCCCUUAAAGCGCGUCUCAGUUCGGAUUGGGGUCUGCAACUCGACCCCAUGAAGUCGGAGUCGCUAGUAAUCGCAGAUCAGCAACGCUGCGGUGAAUACGUUCCCGGGCCUUGUACACACCGCCCGUCACGUCAUGAAAGUCGGUAACACCCGAAGCCGGUGGCCUAACCCUUGUGGAGGGAGCUGUCGAAGGUGGGAUUGGCGAUGGACG
rnacentral:rRNA from 1 species